rnacentral:piRNA from 1 species
UGAAAGGAAUGCUGAUGGACUUAGGCCC